rnacentral:misc_RNA from 1 species
AAGGAGCAUCUCCCCACACACCCCGAAGAGUCGGGGAGCGUGUGAGGGCAGAGCCAUUUCGGAUUCACAUGUAAUCCGGUGGUGCUCAUGGGUGGAACACUGACAAGUAUUCUUCUUCACUACUGCCGGCCCGAGUGCUGGUGGGAAGAGAGUUAUAUCGGCAUACUGUUGGGUCCUGAGAGAACACGUGAGUGAUCUUCUCGAAGGAAGGAACGACAAGACCUGGGCGUGGUCAUACCGCGGUGCGAGAGUGCCGGCUGGUGCCACAUGAGUUCGGGUGUUGUGUGUUGUUUGAGAACUGCACAGUGGACGCGAGCAUCUUUGUU